AACAUCAUUCAUAACAACUUGGUGCCGAAACCUGGGAACUCCAGUCCAGGUGAAGAGUGGCUAGUUUUGGGAAGGAGCUCCCCACCAGUUGUUAAGGUGGUCCCAAGGCUAGACCAGGCUCUCUUGGAGAAGGAGUUCCAGAUUAAAAUAAAGCAUAAGCAAAAGAAGCUAGCUACAAGGAGGCGCGCCAGAAGAAGAAGGCUCCCGUGGGAAUGCCGGCAGAAAGGGAAAGGUACCCGUAAAACGUCUUGUGCACAAGAACCCUGUGCGAAAACGGGCUGUUUUAAAGUUGUUUUAAAAGGUGCAUUAUCAAAGUCUGGACAUCCUGAAUUAGCUGCCAACUGCAACCUCAUUGAACCUGAAGGCAGAACAGCACUAAUGAGAAAGAAUCAGACACCUCGUUGAUCAAUGGAAACAGCCCAGGAGGAUUGAAAAAUUUCUCCAAAAGCCUCCAACAGUCAACAUUAACUGAUUUAUUUGAAGAACUACAACUCCAGAAAAAGAGACUGGUAACACC